AUUGAACGCUGGCGGCAUGCCUUACACAUGCAAGUCGAACGGUAACAGGAGAGCUUGCUCUCUGGGUGACGAGCGGCGGACGGGUGAGUAAUGUCUGGGAAACUGCCUGAUGGAGGGGGAUAACUACUGGAAACGGUAGCUAAUACCGCAUAACGUCGCAAGACCAAAGAGGGGGACCUUCGGGCCUCUUGCCAUCAGAUGUGCCCAGAUGGGAUUAGCUAGUAGGUGGGGUAACGGCUCACCUAGGCGACGAUCCAUAGCUGGUCUGAGAGGAUGACCAGCUACACUGGAGCUGAGACACGGUCCGGACGCCUACGGGAGGCAGCAGUGGGGAAUAUUGCACAAUUGGCGCAAGCCUGAUGCAGCCAUGCCGCGUGUAUGAAGAAGGCCUUCGGGUUGUAAAGUACUUUCAGCGGGGAGGAAUGUGCUGAGGUUAAUAACCUCAGCAAUUGACGUUACCCGCAGAAGAAGCACCGGCUAACUCCGUGCCAGCCGCCGCGGUAAUAC
rnacentral:rRNA from 1 species